UACGUAGGGAGCAAGCGUUGUCCGGAAUCAUUGGGCGUAAAGCGCGUGUAGGCGGUUACAUAAGUCUGUUGUGAAAGUCCGGGGCUCAACCUUCGAAAGCCGAUGGAUACUGGGUGACUUGAGUACGGAAGAGGAGAGUGGAAUUCCUGGUGUAGCGGUGAAAUGCGCAGAGAUCAGGAGGAACACCAGCGGCGAAGGCAGCUCUCUGGGACGUUACUGACGCUGAGGCGCGAAAGCGUGGGGAGCAAACAGG
rnacentral:rRNA from 1 species